rnacentral:rRNA from 1 species
GGGCCCUCAUGCUGGAACUGCAGAGAGCUCGAAACGCUCCCGGCGCUAUAGGAUGUGGCUGCGGCCGAUUAGGUAGACGGUGGGGUAACGGCCCCACCGUGCCAAUAAUCGGUACGGGUUGUGAGAGCAAGAGCCCGGAGACGGUAUCUGAGACAAGAUACCGGGCCCUACGGGGCGCAGCAGGCGCGAAACCUUUACACUGCACGACAGUGCGAUAAGGGGACUCCGAGUGCGAGGGCAUAUAGUCCUCGCUUUUCACCACCGUAAGGAGGUGGUGGAAUAAGUGCUGGGCAAGACCGGUGCCAGCCGCCGCGGUAAUACCGGCAGCACGAGUGAUGGCCGCUCUUAUUGGGCCUAAAGCGUCCGUAGCUGGCCAGGCAAGUCCAUCGGGAAAUCCGCACGCUCAACGUGCGGGCGUCCGGUGGAAACUGCCUGGCUUGGGACCGGAAGACCCGAGGGGUACGUCCGGGGUAGGAGUGAAAUCCCGUAAUCCUGGACGGACCACCGGUGGCGAAAGCGCCUCGGGAAGACGGAUCCGACGGUGAGGGACGAAAGCUCGGGUCACGAACCGGAUUAGAUACCCGGGUAGUCCGAGCUGUAAACGAUGUCUGCUAGGUGUGACACAGGCUACGAGCCUGUGUUGUGCCGCAGGGAAGCCGUGAAGCAGACCGCCUGGGAAGUACGUCCGCAAGGAUGAAAU